AAUCUGUACCUCAGGAUGUGCUUUUGGGGGAGCCCAAACCAAGAUAGCCUCAUCCAAGUGUUUGGCUGGGGUCUCCCAGCCUCUUGUUUCUUCUGCCUCUCUGAAUUUCCACAUCUCCAACCACAAUUCCAAUCCUCAAAUUUAGAGAUUAUUUUUCUAAUAUUAUUUUUCUAUUUUAGGGAUUAUUCGGCUACUACUUCAGUGUGAAACAGACACCUUGUUGUCCUCAAAUAUUUCUAUUGCAUUCUACUUGGGGUAGCAAGGAAGUGGGUAUUGAGAAGUAAUGAUUAUCAGUGCCAGGAAGGGGAAAAACUGUCAAAACACCAUUUCUCUGCAGAGUUCAAGACUUCAAUCCCCUUGACAACCAAUUCCUAAACAACAUCAGGGAGUUCCAUUUGGGCUAGAGUUUGUGCAGGUUACUGCGGUUUGAUCACUCUAUAAGGUGGGAAACUCUCCAGCACCAGUCCUCCAGUAUGGUAAGGCAGGACAGCAGCCCAUGGAAGCCAGUACAUCAGCCCACUUCUGUUUUAAUAUUGCUGAGUUGCCUUUAUUUGAAAAAAAUAAAAAUGAAGAGAACAGAGGUGGCAGGAUAUUUUUGAAUCAGGUCUCAUCUGCAUAGGUCUAGCCAGGUAGGGCCAAUUAUUUGUCCUCCAGGAAUUCUGAAUGACUGACUUACGCCUGAGGUAAGUCGGUUUUCUGUCUCAUGUGCAUAUCUGUAUUAUAAUAAUUUUUGUGCACGUCUGCAUUGUAACCAAUUUUGAAGCAUAGUAUAUUUGUUUAUUUUCAUAUGUAUGUUUAUUUGCAUGUAAACAUGGACAUGUCUAGACUAUGAGUUCUUGCACGGCAGGAAUUGUA